rnacentral:rRNA from 1 species
UACGGGGGGUGCGAGCGUUGCUCGGAAUUAUUGGGCGUAAAGCGUACGCAGGCGGCUCGUUAAGUCGAGUGUGAAAUCCCGGGGCUCAACCCCGGACGUGCAUCCGAAACUGGCGAGCUUGAGUGCGGGAGAGGGAAGCGGAAUUCCUGGUGUAGAGGUGAAAUUCGUAGAUAUCAGGAGGAACACCGGUGGCGAAAGCGGCUUCCUGGCCCGAUACUGACGCUCAUGUACGAAAGCGUGGGGAGCAAACAGG